AGCGGCGGACGGGUGAGUAACGCGUGGGUAACCUGCCCUAUACACAUGGAUAACAUACUGAAAAGUUUACUAAUACAUGAUAAUAUAUAUUUGCGGCAUCGCAGAUAUAUCAAAGUGUUAGCGGUAUAGGAUGGACCCGCGUCUGAUUAGCUAGUUGGUGAGAUAACUGCCCACCAAGGCGACGAUCAGUAGCCGACCUGAGAGGGUGAUCGGCCACAUUGGAACUGAGACACGGUCCAAACUCCUACGGGAGGCAGCAGUGGGGAAUACUGCACAAUGGGCGAAAGCCUGAUGCAGCAACGCCGCGUGAACGAUGAAGGUCUUCGGAUCGUAAAGUUCUGUUGCAGGGGAAGAUAAUGACGGUACCCUGUGAGGAAGCCCCGGCUAACUACGUGCCAGCAGCCGCGGUAAUACGUAGGGGGCUAGCGUUAUCCGGAUUUACUGGGCGUAAAGGGUGCGUAGGUGGUCCUUCAAGUCGGUGGUUAAAGGCUACGGCUCAACCGUAGUAAGCCGCCGAAACUGGAGGACUUGAGUGCAGGAGAGGAAAGUGGAAUUCCCAGUGUAGCGGUGAAAUGCGUAGAUAUUGGGAGGAACACCAGUAGCGAAGGCGGCUUUCUGGACUGCAACUGACACUGAGGCACGAAAGCGUGGGUAGCAAACAGG
rnacentral:rRNA from 1 species